CAGACCCUAAAGGCCAAGUCCAGCUUCUCUCUCUCACUCCUCUGGGUGAAGAAGGUAUGUUUCCUCCAGAGCCUCAGAUUAGACAUCCAUUGACCUUGUCUAUCCAGUUCUGUUUCCCUCUUCUUCCCAUAGGGGUCGCCCUCCUUCCCCCGGUCCUUAAGUGGGGCGGGCACCUCUCCCAGGAUGGUCAUAUGACCCAGUCCUAGCCAAUCACCAUGGUCCCGCCUCCUGGCUACCACAAUUGGCUCAGGGACGAGCACGUGGCCCGUAGUGGCCCAAUGAGAGUCAUCCCUGAGUGGGAACUGGUGGGAAAGAAUUCUGCUGGAGCAUCUGGAGUUGCUCAAACGGAGUGCCUGCAGCCAUCUUUCCUUCCACGUGCGGAGGAAUCAGCCUGAGAAUGAAACCAUCGCAGGAAAGGGCUGAAAGACAGUGAGUGUGUGCUUUCUAAGGGCAGCAUUUGAGCCUAGGCCCCAGCCGGCCCUGAAGCCAGCACAAUCCUCGGAACGUCUCAAUUUUGUGAGCCAAUAAAUGCCCUUGAUUGUUUAGACAAGUUUUCACUGGGUCUUACCCCACGUGAGCCCCCACUCCUCCAUAUGGACCUGUUUUGGACCAACGAGGCAUCCCCUUCUGUAGUCCUCAACACGGGGAGCUCCACCACUGCCUAGCCGUGUGACCUCAGGCAAGUAUCUUAACCUUUCUGGGUCGCUGUUUCGUCAUUUGUAUAAUAGGAGAAUAAUGGUGCCUACAGGGUUGUUGUGAGGAUUAAGUGAAUACGGGUAAAGUGCUCAAAGCAGACCCUGGCACAUGGUGAAUCUCAAAUGAUAGCUGCUAUUUUAUCGUUAUUAUCCUCACGCACCUCUAUCUUCAGAAGACCUGUUCCGAGAGCAGGAGGCACAGGGAAGGGAAGAAUGGCCCUCCCCUGGUUGCCUUGGGUUUGCCCUCAGUUACACUUUGCUCUCUGAAGACCCACCUCUUCCCCAAGUGAUUGACACUGGAGUCAUCCGCACAGCAUGCCCCAGAUGCGGCACAGCCUGAGUCAGGCUUUGUGGGAUGCGCCCACCCGGGAACAGGAAGGAGAGACGUGCCUGACUGAGCAGAGGGCUAGAGGUCAGACAACACGUCCCUGCCCUGGGCACUGGCUGCUCAGUCAUUAAAGCAGACCCAAAUAGCUUCUGGCCGGGGGCUCAAAGGAACAGCCAAUUAGAGACUCAUUUUUCCAGUCUCCCUUUCACUGUUGUUCUCUUUCCACAGGUGGGGUUGGGGAGAGGCCUCGGGAUGGCAAGGACCAGGAUCUGCUGCCAAGCCUGUGGGUCCUGUCUCUGGGAUGCCCCUGGGACACUGGUACCCAUGGAUGCACUGGGCGACUUGAGGUGCUUGCUGCAGAGGCAUCGGGGGUCUCUGGCCAGAGGCGACAUCUGAAGCAAUCGGGAUCCUGUUUGGUUUUGCCACAUCCGACCUGCCGCCCGGCCGGGGCAAGACAGCCACGCGCAGCGGAUGCACCGGCCCUGAACUCUUUCUCGAGUAGUCCCCAGAGAUUUCAGGAAGAGAGAGAAGAGGUAAAGAGACCAGAAACAAAGUCUUCUGCAAGCAAAGAACUGCAACAGGCCCCAGCUGUUAGGUUUGAGGGGCAUAUGGGCCAGGCGACUGAACUGCACAGUUGGGGCCAGAGGUACGGUUGCUGACCCCUGAGCCCAGGAGCCUUGAGAAUAUGGACAGUGUUAAUAAUAACUGCAAACAUCCAACAGAUGAUGCUAGAAUAACUGGACAUCUGUGUGCAAAAAUAAUGAACCUAUACCUUGCACCUUA